UUGUUAAUGCAGGUUGACGAACCUCCAGUUUUUCAAGUAAAUACAGGUUUGUGUCAGGUUUAUGUUAUUGGUGGUUGAGCACUUUUUCCUUGAUAGACCUCACCUCACAAUAUAACCCACAUGGUGCAAGCUUCUAUCUCAAUUCCUGGGUAAAUGCUGGGUAAAGUCACUGUUGUCCACUGUGAGCACAAUAUUUUAAUUAAGAGAAAAUUGAUGUAGUGUUGUAAUUGAUAAAGAUAUUGUGGUACUUAGUUAAUUUUUUGUGUAAACCUUUCACAAACCUUCAGAGCAAAAAAAAAAAAAGGACCAUUGCUCAUUGCUUCCUUAUUAACAAAUUUCAAAAAGCUUUUUCUAUCCUAGAGAUAAUAUACAGUCUACCUUGUUUCAAGUAACUCUUAUCUUUGCUGGCAUAGGAGACUACCACUCCCGCAGACGCAGAGGCCCAGCUGUCUCUCCCAGUCACUCCAAGGAUCAUCAUGCUUGGAGAGACAAUCCUGACUGCAAAAAAAUGGAUGCUGUCGAUCGAGGGGAGGGUCGUAAUCCCACCUGGUGCUCACAUGGCAGACUUCACCACUGCCUUGGCCGCUCUCUUCGCCUGUUACUAUGUAUUCAACCUAGAGUAUCAGGUGGAAGCCAGCACAACACUGGAGUUUGUUCAGAGGUUUUUAGUCAGGAUUAAUCCUGACUCCAACAAGUGCACUGCCAAGGAGCAGAUGAGCAAGACGACUGGGAGAGUGGUGAAGCGGAAGACUUCAUACAUGAACCCCCAUGUAAUCUCCUUCAUCAGGGACUUCACGGAGUUCUAUUUGCUAACUGACUAGAUACAGGGCUCCAACUAGGAUUCUAGGUCUCCAAGGUCAGGGCAUGCAAGAGGCCAUAGUGGCAGGGGAAGUUUAUUUUCCUUUCUGUUUUAAAUGUUCAUGCAAAUGUUAAAUUUUUUUUUUUUUUUUUUAAAUGUUCAAUGUUUUAUUUUAUUUCAGUAUUGCCAUAGUGUUAUUUAUUACUCUUUAGAAUGUGGUAAUAAUCAGUUAUUUAAAAAGCUUCAAAGUAGUUAAAUAUUUUGACCGUGUUGUAUCAAUUUGCGUUAUUGUUCUGCCAUAGCAACCAGUCAUGUGGAACUAGUGAAUGAACUAGUAACAGUUUGCUCUGUAACUUUACAAAACUUGUAAUGAAAUAGCCUCGUUUUGUAAAAUUUUCUUAAGUCAGUAAUUAAAUUUAGCAACAGUAGAAUACGCAGAUAAUAGACUUCACGCCAUUAAAAAUUACAAACACAGAAUGUUCGUUAACUUUGGAUGGCAUAAUGACAUGUUGUCCAGUGUCAAUUAUCCCUUUAUGUUGUACCUGUUUUGUCAUUCCUGUUCACCAAAUGUUUUUAAAUAAAUAACUGUUAACAAUUUU